rnacentral:misc_RNA from 1 species
GAUGAAGAACGCAGCGAAAUGCGAUAAGUAGUGUGAAUUGCAGAAUUCCGUGAAUCAUCGAAUCUUUGAACGCACAUUGCGCCUUCUGGUAUUCCGGAAGGCAUGCCUGUUCGAGAGUCAUUAACAACCGUUUCGAUCCCUUUCUUUCAGAAAUUACAAAGAGGAAAAGGGUUUGGUUAUGGUGGAGGAGGGAAAGGGAGCGUUUAGCCUGUAAAAAAAGAGGCUGUGUUCCGCCUCCCCCCCAAAAUUGUACAGGCGGUCGUGUGCGCCCACGCAUCGAGGUGUUGUAAAAGCUGCCACGGCACUUUUCACCUGUGCAGUGCGAGAUUGGCCAGCCGGUUUAAAAACCCCUCCAAACAAUCAAAGGUUGACCUCGGAUCAGGUAGGGAUACCCGCUGAACUUAAGCAUAUCAGUAAGCGGAGGA